UGUCUAUCUCUAUUCUCUAAGACUAACCUAAUCCCUAAUGCCUAAACUAGAAGCCACCGCCCACCAAUCCUCGUCGUCGUCGACUUCGACCAGCCACUGGUCUCCCUCUCGCCGUCUCGCCUCUCCCUCUCGUGGCUUCUUAUCUUCUUAUCCUGUGACUCAUACAUGGCUGAAAAUAUACAAAGUGAUAAGGUGACGAUGGGUGAAAGUGGGGCUUCUAAUUCAAAUGCAAUAAGUCAAGCUCAAGCAACAGAGUCAAAUAUAAACAAAAAAAAAGGAGAAAAAAGUCUGUUGUAUGGGAUCAUUUUACAGAAAUUAUUACUUCUGAAGGGAGUACAAAAGAAAAAUGUGACUAUUGCUUUAUUGAGUAUGUAUUUAAGACCAAAGACGGCGAGAUGAGGGUGAUUAUUAUGUAAAGAGUUAAUUAUCUGGAGUUGCCACCCCUAAAAGGAGAAGAAGUAGAGAUGGAAGUUGGAACCGGAAAAUGUAGGACGCAGGAACAGUUGCAGAAAACAAAUGUGUACAAUUUUAAAAUGGACAGUGUUCAUUUUAAUACUCUGCUUUGGGAUGUACUGGACAGUGUACUGUACACAUUUGCAUAACAAAAUUAUUCUUGAAAACAAGUGUGUACAAUUUUAAUACUCUGCUUUAGGACA